GAUGAAGAACGUAGCGAAAUGCGAUAAGUAAUGUGAAUUGCAGAAUUCAGUGAAUCAUCGAAUCUUUGAACGCACCUUGCGCUCCUUGGCAUUCCGAGGAGCAUGCCUGUUUGAGUGUCAUUAAAUUCUCAAGACCUGUCUGCUUUUUUGAUAGGUAUUGGAUUUUGGGGGUUGCAGGCUGUUUCAAAUAAAUAGCCUUGCUCUCCUUGAAUGUAUUAGUGGAGAAAAGCCAUUGAACUCCAUUGGUGUGAUAAAACCUAUCAAUGCCAGGAGCAAUAUUACUACUUCUCUCUGCUGUCUAACUGUGACUGUCUGUAUUAAUUAGUAUGGAUGGGGACAACUUGACCAACUUGACCUCAAAUCAGGUAGGACUACCCGCUGAACUUAAGCAUAUCAAUAAGCGGAGGA
rnacentral:misc_RNA from 1 species